rnacentral:lncRNA from 1 species
GACCUGGCAGCUGGUUAGAAAUGCUGGAUCUCAAUCCCAACCCAACCUAAGGAACUGGAAUCUGCAUUUUAACAAGAUGCCCUGGUGAUUUGUGUGUACCGCUUUCAAAGCAAGUCAUGCAUGCUGAGCACUGCAAAAGCACCAGGCAUUUGUGGAGUGGGAAAAAAAAUCCUCUGGGAAUACACUGCUUGAGGGGAGAAAAUGGCUUCAUAAAGAAAUGAUGCAAACACCAUACUUUGCCCUGCCAGCAACUUCUCUCUUAAUUUGCAACUGCAGAAUGAAAUAUCCACUACACCAAAGCCUCAGUCAGCUGCAAAAACAAUGUAUUGUAAUCUGAUAUUUAUUUUUGCUGAAAUGGAUCCACGGCCCUGACAUUUCAGAUUCUGCAGCUUUGCAAAGCAGCCAGAGAGCCUUUGCUGCCCUUGGGGGAGUGCAGAAGGCCAUGAAACAUCUUCACUUUUGCAAUAUAAUUUUUCUUCAAGAACUCAA